rnacentral:rRNA from 1 species
UACGUAGGGCCCGAGCGUUGUCCGGAAUUACUGGGCGUAAAGAGCUCGUAGGUGGUUUGUCGCGUUGUUCGUGAAAACUCACAGCUCAACUGUGGGCGUGCGGGCGAUACGGGCAGACUAGAGUACUGCAGGGGAGACUGGAAUUCCUGGCGUAGCGGUGGAAUGCGCAGAUAUCAGGAGGAACACCGGUGGCGAAGGCGGGUCUCUGGGCAGUAACUGACGCUGAGGAGCGAAAGCGUGGGGAGCGAACAGG